GAGGGUAUAGCUCAGUGGUAGAGUGCGUGCUUAGCAUGCAUGAUGAGGUCCUGGGUUCAAUCCCUCGGACCUCCA
rnacentral:tRNA from 1 species